UUCGGAGAAACCCUCGGCGAGGUCUUCUUCCGUCACCUUGGCCCCGUUCUCGUCGCCGCAGAUGAUGGCUAUGUGAUUCCCUCCCUUGCGAUUCUUCUACUUUCUUUGUAGUGAUCGCGAAGGGGGUUUCGUGGUGUUUCGCAGGGAAGAAGCGGAGGAGAGCUGUCGAGGAGCGCUCUGAGUCCGACUCGGAGGUGCAGUUGUCGUCAGAUGAUGACUAUGUGCUUCCUCCCUGGGAUGGCGAGCCCGCCUCCGGUAGCAGCGAUGACGGAGAGUGGACGGCGGAAGAAUACAGUCGGAGACGGGAGAAGAAGAGGAAGGGACGAGCCCGGGGAGGACGCGACGACGCUGGGCCCUCCUCGAUUCCGCCGGCUUCAUAUGACGACGGCGACGACGAUGAUGAUCGGGUCCCUGUUGUUGAGGAUGGUGGUGCAUCGUCAAGGAAAAGGGCAUCUAAGAAGUCAAAGAGGAAAUCGAAGGGCAACGCGUUGAUCUGGGAGGUUCUUGAACGAGAGAAUGAGAUAUGGAUUGACGAGCGUGAGAGGAUGGGGGAUUCGGGGAACCCACCUGAUGAGACUGGGGUGGCCAUACAGGUUGCUGACCCCUCGCCGGAUGUCACGCUUCCCCUUCUCAGGUUCCAGAAAGAAUGGGUAGCCUGGGCUUUGAUGCAGGAGGCGUCCAGUGCUCGGGGAGGGAU
rnacentral:lncRNA from 1 species